UACGAAGGGGGCGAGCGUUGUUCGGAUUUACUGGGCGUAAAGCGUGCGCAGGCGGUUUUGUAAGUCUGUUGUGAAAUCCCCGGGCUCAACCUGGGAAUGGCAAUGGAGACUGCAAGGCUAGAGUUUGGCAGAGGGGGGUAGAAUUCCACGUGUAGCAGUGGAAAUGCGUAGAUAUGUGGGAGGAACACCGAUGGCGAAGGGCAGCCCCCUGGGUCAAAACUGACGCUCAUGCACGAAAGCGUGGGGAGCAAACAGG
rnacentral:rRNA from 1 species